rnacentral:rRNA from 1 species
UCAUAACAUAAUUAAAGGCAUUCUUUUGAUAAUUAAACUCCGGUGUAUAAGAUGAGUGUGCGUCUGAUUAGCUAGUUGGUGGGGUAACGGCUCACCAAGGCAACGAUCAGUAGCUGGUCUGAGAGGAUGAUCAGCCACACGGGCACUGAGACACGGGCCCGACUCCUACGGGAGGCAGCAGUAGGGAAUAUUGGACAAUGGGCGCAAGCCUGAUCCAGCCAUCCCGCGUGAAGGAUUAAGGCCCUCUGGGUUGUAAACUUCUUUCUUUGGGAAUAAAAACUCCGUUUCUACGGAGCUUGAAGGUACCAGAGGAAUAAGCACCGGCUAACUCCGUG